UGGGGAAUAUUGCACAAUGGGGGAAACCCUGAUGCAGCGACGCCGCGUGAGCGAAGAAGGCCUUCGGGUCGUAAAGCUCUUUUAUGAGGGAAGAUAAUUACGGUACCUCAAGAAAAAGCCCCGGCUAACUACGUGCCAGCAGCCGCGGUAAUACGUAGGGGGCUAGCGUUGUCCGGAAUCACUGGGCGUAAAGGGUUCGCAGGCGGAAUAACAAGUCAGAUGUGAAAGGCAUGGGCUCAACCCAUGUAAGCAUUUGAAACUGUAAUUCUUGAGAAGGGGGGAGGUAAGUGGAAUUCCUAGUGUAGCGGUGAAAUGCGUAGAUAUUAGGAGGAAUACCUGUGGCGAAGGCGACUUACUGGACACAAAUCUGACGCUGAGGAACGAAAGCGUGGGUAGCAAACAGG
rnacentral:rRNA from 1 species